rnacentral:rRNA from 1 species
AUUGAACGCUGGCGGCAGGCCUAACACAUGCAAGUCGAGCGGCGUCGGACGGGUGAGUAACGCGUAAAGAACUUUCCUCACAGCUAGGGACAACAUUUGGAAACGAAUGCUAAUACCUAAUACUGUGAGAGAGCUUUUCGUCCCCUUUGCUAGUUGGAGAGGUAACGGCUCACCAAGGCGAUGAUGGGUAGCCGGCCUGAGAGGGUGAUCGGCCACAAGGGGACUGAGACACGGCCCUUACUCCUACGGGAGGCAGCAGUGGGGAAUAUUGGACAAUGGACCAAAGUCUGAUCCAGCAAUUCUGUGUGCACGAUGAAGUUUUCGGAAUGUAAAGUGCUUUCAGUUGGGAAGCGGUACCAACAGAAGAAGCACCGGCUAACUCCGUGCCAGCAGCCGCGGUAAUAC